rnacentral:rRNA from 1 species
UACGGAGGGGGCUAGCGUUGUUCGGAAUUACUGGGCGUAAAGCGCACGUAGGCGGAUUGUUAAGUCAGGGGUGAAAUCCUGGAGCUCAACUCCAGAACUGCCUUUGAUACUGGCGAUCUCGAGUCCGGGAGAGGUGAGUGGAACUGCGAGUGUAGAGGUGAAAUUCGUAGAUAUUCGCAAGAACACCAGUGGCGAAGGCGGCUCACUGGCCCGGUACUGACGCUGAGGUGCGAAAGCGUGGGGAGCAAACAGG